rnacentral:rRNA from 1 species
GACGAACGCUGGCGGCGUGCUUAACACAUGCAAGUCGAACGGAAAGGCCUGCUUUCCCUUGUGGAUUGCGGGUACUCGAGUGGCGAACGGGUGAGUAACACGUGAGUGAUCUGCCCCCAACUUGGGUAUAAGCCUGGGAAACUGGGUCUAAUUCCCGAUAGUACUGCAGGGUGGUGCCUGUGGUGGCAAACGAUUUUCUAGUGGUUGGGGAUGAGCUCGCGGCCUAUCAGCUUGUUGGUGGGGUAAUGGCCUACCAAGGCGGCGACGGGUAGCCGGCCUGAGAGGGUGGACGGCCACAUUGGGACUGGGAUACGACCCAGACUCCUACGGGAGGCAGCAGUGGGGAAUAUUGCACAAUGGGCGGAAGCCUGAUGCAGCGACGGCGCGUGGGGGAUGACGGCCUUCGGGUUGUAAACUCCUUUCGACCGCGAGGAAGCCACCUGGUUGGAAGGGUGGUGACGGUAGUGGUAGAAGAAGCACCGGCUAACUACGUG